rnacentral:rRNA from 1 species
UACAGAGGGGGCUAGCGUUGCUCGGAAUCACUGGGCGUAAAGCGCACGUAGGCGGCUUGUUAAGUCAGGGGUGAAAUCCUGGAGCUCAACUCCAGAACUGCCUUUGAUACUGGCGAGCUUGAGUUCGGGAGAGGUGAGUGGAACUGCGAGUGUAGAGGUGAAAUGCGUAGAUAUUGGGAGGAACACCAGUGGCGAAGGCGGCUACCUGGACCGGUUCUGACGCUGAUGCGCGAAAGCGUGGGUAGCAAACAGG